ensembl:lncRNA
UAUUAUAUUAUAUUAUAUUAUAUUAUAUUAUAUUAUAUGAUAUUAUAUGAUAUUAUAUUAUAUUAUAUUAUAUUAUAUUAUAUUAUAUUAUAUUAUAUUAUAUUAUACGAGCAUUAUUGCAGCAAAGAGUCUGUGAGCUUCCACAGCCCAUAGCGCUUUGAGUACUCCAGGAGAGUAGAAAAGCGCUAUAUAAGAAUCAGUCCAUUAACAAUUUACCAGAGAACUUUUCACCUGUGCACCAAUUCCUCACAUCUAACUGGCAAGUGGAAUUAAAAUCAACAAUGGGAUCAACACUGUAACAGGAUACAGUUUCUAACACUGAGCUGAGGUUUGUCUGUGUGGGAAGAAAUCAAUGACCUUUUAUCAGUCACAGCCGUUUUUUAGCAUUGAUGAGGCCACAGAAGAGCCUUAAACUGUUGUCAUUUGGUUUCAUAUAAAUAAAAUUGAAUUGAAUAGUGUGGAAGGAGGAACUCUUACAUUAGAGUUUGGCCCAUCAAGUCUCUAAUAUCCUGUAACAUGGAUUUCAUUCUGUAACUGUCCUGUCCCAAAAAGCCGCCCGGCAAAAUAUAGAAAAGCAAACCCGCAGAGAUGAUAUAAUAAUGCAAGCAUACUGCUACUUAAGUAAUGCAGCGGAAAGGAUGGCGAAAGCAUGGAUAUAGAGUUAUCGUGCACCGAGAAGCUGCUCUAAUCUGCUCUAUCCUCCUCCUGUCUCCACAUCAGCUUUUGGUUGCGGCGCCUUCUUAAACAUCACAUGAGGGUAGAUGCCUCCAGUCUGGCCACAGCAUUUACUACCAAAGACAGAGCAUUAGUUAGACCAUGUCAGAUGAGCAUGUUACUAAAUACAGCUGUUACAGUCAGAUAGAUACCUCCAAAGUCUAUACACGAGGCCGACCAGCAGCAGGACAGCUGCUACAAUGACAGCUGCUACAAUGACACCAAUCUGGGAAGGAGGCAUUCCUGAAAAGACAAACAGUUCAGCUACCAGCCAACAACAUCUAACAUCAUCUCAAAGGUCAAGUAGUUUGUUCAAAGGUACAAAAACAGACAUUUUCUCAGGGCUUACUACCAGUCUUGAGAAAUCUGCAUGCAGUUGCACAACAUUCAUAAUAAAACCUUAAAUAAAUCCUGUAAUUUAUCUGUGAAGUCAUAAAUAAAUAGAGUUUAGCACUAGUUUAACAAAGUUUGAUCUCCUCACUAAGUGGUGCUGAAGAUCAGUUCUCUGCUAACAUGAGCCACAGCGAGCCACCUGAGGCCUGAGCACGCUACCUGUAUAUCAAAUGCCUACCUGUGCCAUCAAUCAGAGCUUCUGGAGGGCAGACGGCUGUAAAAGAACAUCAGAAAAUCACAUUAGACUUAUAAAUUAACACAGAAACUCUAACACGGGCUGAACAAAUAAAGAAAAAUUUUUUAAUUUUAUUAAAUUUAGCACAGUGAUACUCACGGGUGCAGCUGGCUGUGUAAUCAUAUGCUCUUUGCUAUGAAGAACAAAGACACAGUGAUUGUGAUUAAAGGUUGUUUUCACAGCAUAGAAAGCAAGUGGACGUCUUUAAGUUCUUUAAACUUAAAGACGUCCAGUUGCUUUCUUUCCGAGCUCCGCAGACAACCAUGACCUGGAUGACUGAGAACCCACACAGACAUUUUCACAGUAAAUUCAUCUCAUCAUUUCCAGAUUAAACCCCUCCUAUGAACACAAUGUUCACCCCACAAUGCUUAACAUAACUCAGAAAAUCUCUUCCCUCACAUGUUUGCAUUUUUAAACGUUUUUUUUAUGACUCAAUCAGUUCAUAACAAGGUAUUUUUUAAAGAGUCAUACCUUUAUCUCGCAAGUGGCUGUGAAGCUAACAUUGCCGAUGCAUUUGGAGGUGAUUAGUGUGCCAAAGCUGCUGCUCAUCACGGGCUGCAGGAACAGGCCCCGGUGGUGUGCGAUCACAAAAUCCUAAAGUCAUCGAAUUUAAAUAAAUCAUUAAGAAAACAAUUCAACCAUAUUAUAUUAAAACAAGCCAGACUGUCACACUGUAAGUAAGUCAUAAUAGAUUCGAAUGCCUUCUCACUGCACACAUGUUGAUAUGUCGUAGCUGCUUAUGUUGGACCACGACAGAUCAAACUGCUCUGGUUUAUCACACUUACAGUUGCAUUGGACCACGUAAACAUGCAGCGGGAAGCCUUGUUGCGCAUAUCAGGUGACAGGUCUGAGAUGUCGUAUGUCGUCUUGCUGCCAGCGUGAGUGACGGUGCACUUCAUGUCAUGUGCACUGCAAAGCUGAACAAACAACCCUGGGAACAAAAUGCAGUUUGAAGUUAAGUUAUGUUACAGUUAUGCACAUGAAUAUUUUAUCAGCACUUAGUGCACGAGACAAUGAAGGUAAAGCUCAUGCUGAGAGGUCAAGGAGUAUGUCAUGGUUUCAUUUUCCUGUGUCAGAUGUUAAAGUUGAGUAACAGUCAUGUUUUGGUUCAGUAAGAAGCCAUAAAUAGAUCAGGAUGUGUGAACUUACUACAAGCUGCCUGUUAGAAACUCAAACUACUUUUAGUACUGUAUGCUGUGUAGUUCCAUAAAUACUGGGUCACAUGGUUAGUGUAAUAAUGCACCACUGACACACACACAAUCAGCGAGGAAACCUACUAUCUCCACACCCCCUGGGUCGCCCCGCCUACCGGGAAUUCCCUCAGUAAUGCGGAAGUUUUAACACUCGUGACUGGUGACGCCAUGUGUGAGUAUGCCGCAGAUGUAAACCGUGUCCGCACCCGCAAAACAAAAUCCAUGAAACCAAACUACCCGCCAUCUGUGGCGAACCCAAAACUAUUAAUUCUGCAAUAAAUACAGAAUAAAUGCAGAAUA